AUUGAACGCUGGCGGCAGGCCUAACACAUGCAAGUCGAACGAGUGGCGGACGGGUGAGUUAUGUCUGGGAAUCUGCCCGAUGGAGGGGGAUAACUUCUGGAAACGGUAGCUAAUACCGCAUACUAUCGGAUGCGCCCAUAUGGGAUUAGCUAGUAGGUGGGGUAACGGCUCACCUAGGCGACGAUCUCUAGCUGGUCUGAGAGGAUGAUCAGCCACACUGGGACUGAGACACGGCCCAGACUCCUACGGGAGGCAGCAGUGGGGAAUAUUGCACAAUGGGCGCAAGCCUGAUGCAGCCAUGCCGCGUGUAUGAAGAAGGCCUUAGGGUUGUAAAGUACUUUCAGCGGGGAGGCGUUACUCGCAGAAGAAGCACCGGCUAACUCCGUGCCAGCAGCCGCGGUAAUUC
rnacentral:rRNA from 1 species